AGUGAACGCUGGCGGUAGGCCUAACACAUGCAAGUCGAACGGCAGCACAGUAAGAGCUUGCUCUUACGGGUGGCGAGUGGCGGACGGGUGAGGAAUACAUCGGAAUCUACUUUUUCGUGGGGGAUAACGUAGGGAAACUUACGCUAAUACCGCAUACGACCUACGGGUGAAAGCAGGGGAUCUUCGGACCUUGCGCGAUUGAAUGAGCCGAUGUCGGAUUAGCUAGUUGGCGGGGUAAAGGCCCACCAAGGCGACGAUCCGUAGCUGGUCUGAGAGGAUGAUCAGCCACACUGGAACGGGGACACGGUACAGAUUCCUACGGGAGGCAGCAGUGGGGAAUAUUGGACAAUGGGCGCAAGCCUGAUCCAGCCAUACCGCGUGGGUGAAGAAGGCCUUCGGGUUGUAAAGCCCUUUUGUUGGGAAAGAAAAGCAGCAGGUUAAUACCCCGCUGUUCUGACGGUACCCAAAGAAUAAGCACCGGCUAACUUCGUG
rnacentral:rRNA from 1 species